UACAGAGGUCUCAAGCGUUGUUCGGAUUCAUUGGGCGUAAAGGGUGCGUAGGCGGUAUGGUAAGUCAGGCGUGAAAUCUUGGGGCUUAACCUCAAAACUGCGCUUGAUACUAUCAUGCUAGAGUUCUAUAGAGGAGACUGGAAUUUACGGUGUAGCAGUGAAAUGCGUAGAUAUCGUAAGGAAGACCGGUUGCGAAAGCGAGUCUCUGGAUAGAUGCUGACGCUGAGGCACGAAGGCCAGGGGAGCAAACGGG
rnacentral:rRNA from 1 species